rnacentral:lncRNA from 1 species
CUGAAUUAAAAUUUCUAAUAUGUGUUGUCUGCUUUCCAAGCUCAGCAAGACUCUGUGCCAGGGAAGAGCAGCAAGGGGCCCUGAGUGGAGAAACGAGAAGCUUACCAUUUCUAGCUGUUGAAUGAGGACCACGCUGGGUUUUCUCUGAAAAAAAACUCUCUGCGUCCCUGACUAUUGUCCUGGUGUUGUCAGCAAGCACAAGCCCGAAUGGCAUGCAGAUUGUGUUAAUUUGCACUGAAGACAGUCUUUGGCUCUACAAAUAAGAAAGCAUCUUUAAACACAUCCGUUCUCUACUGAGCUGAGUACUCCUGGUUUCCAGCUCUGUGGUGCACACAUGCACUCGGCCAGCAAGAUCAGCGAGGGACUUACAAGCUUACAAGGCAAUCCACCCUGACCGUGCUGCUCGCGCCGCCUCUCCUACGACGUGGAGCUGGUUGUGCUGGGGAGCUUGGGCAGGCCCCUGCUGAGCGUGCCAAAGGUAGCAAUAAAGCUGGGUAACUUGCUGCAACAAGCAGAGAGAGGAUAUAGUAGAAAAGAAGAGUGCUGGGGAGGUUCAGCUGUGCCCAUCAGUAGCAUUUUGUAUUUCCUGAGCACGAGACUGGUACCAGAUCUACGGCCUGCCCAAAGACCAGGC